rnacentral:rRNA from 1 species
GACGAACGCUGGCGGCGUGCCUAAUACAUGCAAGUCGAACGCUGAAGGAGGAGCUUGCUUCUCUGGAUGAGCUGCGAACGGGUGAGUAACGCGUAGGUAACCUGCCUGGUAGCGGGGGAUAACUAUUGGAAACGAUAGCUAAUACCGCAUAAUAGUAGAUGUUGCAUGACAUUUGCUUAAAAGGUGCAAUUGCAUCACUGCCAGAUGGACCUGCGUUGUAUUAGCUAGUUGGUGGGGUAACGGCUCACCAAGGCGACGAUACAUAGCCGACCUGAGAGGGUGAUCGGCCACACUGGGACUGAGACACGGCCCAGACUCCUACGGGAGGCAGCAGUAGGGAAUCUUCGGCAAUGGACGGAAGUCUGACCGAGCAACGCCGCGUGAGUGAAGAAGGGUUUCGGAUCGUAAAGCUCUGUUGUAAGAGAAGAACGAGUGUGAGAGUGGAAAGUUCACACUGUGACGGUAUCAUACCAGAAAGGGACGGCUAACUACGUG